GCGGCCUUGGCGCAGUUGGUUGACGCGAUCGGUUUAGGUCCGAUUUGUCCGUUAUGGACUAGGUGGGUUCGAGUCCCACAGGCCGCA
rnacentral:tRNA from 1 species